rnacentral:rRNA from 1 species
AGAGUUUGAUCAUGGCUCAGAUUGAACGCUGGCGGCAGGCCUAACACAUGCAAGUCGAACGGUAGCACAGAGAGCUUGCUCUUGGGUGACGAGUGGCGGACGGGUGAGUAAUGUCUGGGAAACUGCCCGAUGGAGGGGGAUAACUACUGGAAACGGUAGCUAAUACCGCAUAACGUCGCAAGACCAAAGUGGGGGACCUUCGGGCCUCACACCAUCGGAUGUGCCCAGAUGGGAUUAGCUAGUAGGUGGGGUAAUGGCUCACCUAGGCGACGAUCCCUAGCUGGUCUGAGAGGAUGACCAGCCACACUGGAACUGAGACACGGUCCAGACUCCUACGGGAGGCAGCAGUGGGGAAUAUUGCACAAUGGGCGCAAGCCUGAUGCAGCCAUGCCGCGUGUAUGAAGAAGGCCUUCGGGUUGUAAAGUACUUUCAGCGAGGAGGAAGGCAUUGUGGUUAAUAACCGCAGUGAUUGACGUUACUCGCAGAAGAAGCACCGGCUAACUCCGUGCCAGCAGCCGCGGUAAUACGGAGGGUGCAAGCGUUAAUCGGAAUUACUGGGCGUAAAGCGCACGCAGGCGGUCUGUCAAGUCGGAUGUGAAAUCCCCGGGCUCAACCUGGGAACUGCAUUCGAAACUGGCAGGCUAGAGUCUUGUAGAGGGGGGUAGAAUUCCAGGUGUAGCGGUGAAAUGCGUAGAGAUCUGGAGGAAUACCGGUGGCGAAGGCGGCCCCCUGGACAAAGACUGACGCUCAGGUGCGAAAGCGUGGGGAGCAAACAGGAUUAGAUACCCUGGUAGUCCACGCCGUAAACGAUGUCGACUUGGAGGUUGUGCCCUUGAGGCGUGGCUUCCGGAGCUAACGCGUUAAGUCGACCGCCUGGGGAGUACGGCCGCAAGGUUAAAACUCAAAUGAAUUGACGGGGGCCCGCACAAGCGGUGGAGCAUGUGGUUUAAUUCGAUGCAACGCGAAGAACCUUACCUACUCUUGACAUCCAGAGAAUUUAGCAGAGAUGCUUUAGUGCCUUCGGGAACUCUGAGACAGGUGCUGCAUGGCUGUCGUCAGCUCGUGUUGUGAAAUGUUGGGUUAAGUCCCGCAACGAGCGCAACCCUUAUCCUUUGUUGCCAGCGGUUCGGCCGGGAACUCAAAGGAGACUGCCAGUGAUAAACUGGAGGAAGGUGGGGGAUGACGUCAAGUCAUCAUGGCCCUUACGAGUAGGGCUACACACGUGCUACAAUGGCAUAUACAAAGAGAAGCGACCUCGCGAGAGCAAGCGGACCUCAUAAAGUAUGUCGUAGUCCGGAUCGGAGUCUGCAACUCGACUCCGUGAAGUCGGAAUCGCUAGUAAUCGUAGAUCAGAAUGCUACGGUGAAUACGUUCCCGGGCCUUGUACACACCGCCCGUCACACCAUGGGAGUGGGUUGCAAAAGAAGUAGGUAGCUUAACCUUCGGGAGGGCGCUUACCACUUUGUGAUUCAUGACUGGGGUGAAGUCGUAACAAGGUAACCGUAGGGGAACCUGCGGUUGGAUCACCU